GAACACCUGAGAGACUGAACUGGGGUCAGCAAAGGUUGUGGGGCACCCGGAAUAGAGAGCUCCAGGCUCUGGCCAGGAGUGCUGGAAGAGCCCUGGUGGGGCAGGAGCUCUGCAGGUUCUGGUUCAGCUUUGGGGCUUCCCAGGGAUUUCCCAGUUUUAACUUUCUGCAUCCCCACGUCUGGGAGCAGUUCCCUUUGAGCUGGUUCGGCCCCUUCUCCUUUUGGUGACCUUAAAGCUGAGGUCUGGGCAGGUCCCUCCAGGUUUUUUGAAGCCACACCAGAAACUCUGGUCCUGAAUAAGUUAUUAAUUCUUCUCUAGAUAAAGAACAAAGUAAAGACAUAAAAUAGGACAGGAAACAAUGGUAGGUGUAGUGCACUCCAAUGCCUAGCAGAUUUAAAUGUCGGCUACAUAAAGUUGUGCACCCCCAGAAAUCUUCGUUUAGCCUUAAUAACAACACAAUAAUAAAUGCUGCACCUGAGCAUCCCUGCCUUGUCCCUGCUCCCAAAAACACAAACACUGAGCAAAGAGGAAUAAAAGGAAACAAACACAACAGAACAAAAUGGGAAAAUCAAUUUAAAAGGAGAAAAUAAAUAGACUAGAAAAAAUUAAAUACAAGAGAGGGAAAUAGGUGAAGUGGAAUAAAAGGAAAUAAUAAAUACAAUUAUGAAAAUAAAUAAAUAGAAUUAAAGUAAAAUAAUAAAACAGAAGAAAACAUAAAAAUGAAAGAAAAUUGAAAACAAGCAAAUAGAAAAUUAAAACAGAAUAGAAAAUAAAAGAGAAAACAGAAGAUGAAAAAUCAAAUUCAGAUAAAAUAGCAAACAAAGUAAAGUAGAAAAUAAAAUAGAAAAUGAAAAGAAAAUUGAAUAAAAGAAAAUAAAGCAGAAUAAAAGGAAUCCAGAUAAGUGGAACAAAAUAUUGAAAUAGAAGAACAUAGAGUAAAAUAAACUAUAUUCAAAUUUAAAAAAUACGAUAAAACACGAACCGCCCUUCCCCCACCAGCAUCUGCCGUACCUUCCCCCUCCCCUGAGCCGUCCCUCCCGUGGGCGGGGCCGGCCCCUUUAAGAGGAAGUAGCGCCGGCCGCGAGCGGGAGCGGCGGGAGCGCGGGGCGUGGUGCGGCCCGCGCUGAGGGAGUGCUGCGGCCCCGGCAGCCGUGCGCGUCCGCCGCCGAGGGAGCGCGGCCCGGCAGAUCAGGACCAGAUGAGCAGAGGGAGGUUUCUGUGAAGAUCAGAGUCGCCCCAGCCCUGCCCUGGGAAGCGGCCACGCCUCCAGCUGUCACCGCUGUGGGCCUGGAAGAGACACGAGAGAAGGAAAAUGUCCCACGCUUUGAAGCAAGUGUUCAAUAAAGACAAAACCUUCCGGCCCAAGCGCAAGUUCGAGCCGGGCACUCAGCGGUUUGAGCUGCACAAGAAGGCCCAGGCCUCGCUCAAUGCCGGCCUGGACUUGAAGGUGGCCGUGCAGCUGCCGCCGGGCGAGGAGCAGAACGACUGGGUGGCCGUGCACGUCGUGGACUUCUUCAACCGCAUCAACCUCAUCUACGGCACCAUCAGUGACUAUUGCACGGAGCAGUCCUGCCCCGUCAUGUCGGGGGGCCCCAAGUACGAGUACCGGUGGCAGGACGAGCACAAGUACCGCAAACCCACGGCCCUGUCUGCACCCCAGUACAUGAACCUGCUCAUGGACUGGAUCGAGGUGCAGAUCAACAACGAGGACAUCUUCCCCACCAACGUCGGAGAUACUGCAACACAGCUGACCCCUGUAGCAGAGCUGUUUCCCUCUGUGCUUCUCAGGUACUCCCUUCCCCAAGAACUUCCUCCCGGUGGUGAAGAAGAUUCUCUCCAGGCUCUUCCGGGUGUUCGUCCAUGUCUACAUCCACCACUUUGACAGGAUCACCCAGAUGGGCUCAGAGGCCCACGUGAACACCUGCUACAAGCACUUUUACUACUUUGUGAAAGAGUUCAAUCUCAUAGACACCAAGGAGCUGGAGCCUCUGAAGGAAAUGACCUCCCGGAUGUGCCACUGAGCUCAGACUUUGCUGCUUCCACCUCGGCACAUCUUCCGAGGACUCCGAGCCCCAAUCCCAUAUUGGAGACGUGAUUCAAGGGGAGAACAGAGAUGUUUCGUUUAAGAAAUUAUAUAUUUUUAAUGAGUUUCAAUGUAAAACUGUGAUACUGCAGGAAUAUUUUUUUAAAGAUGC